rnacentral:ncRNA from 1 species
CAUCGUGAGGUGGAAUCUGAAGGAAGCUGGAUGUGGGGAACCUACUAACCCAUGGGCAAAGAUCUGGUCUGACGAACAGAAAUCACAUAAGAGGCUAUGUAUGAGGGUAAGUCUGCCGUACAAGAUGAAGCCUAGUAACUACACGGAAUCAUACAUGGUAAAUGUGGCAGAUAGAUGGAGUGAAAGAAUGU